GUUGAACGCUGGCGGCAGGCCUAACACAUGCAAGUCGAGCGGAGCGGCGGACGGGGGGGUAAUGCCUAGGAAUCUGCCCGGGAGUGGGGUAUAAAGUCCGGAAACGGGAGCUAAUACCGCAUGCUAUCAGAUGAGCCUAGGUCGGAUUAGAUAGUUGGUGGGGUAAAGGCCUACCAAGGCGACGAUCCGUAACUGGUCUGAGAGGAUGAUCAGUCACACUGGAACUGAGACACGGUCCAGACUCCUACGGGAGGCAGCAGUGGGGAAUAUUGGACAAUGGGCGAAAGCCUGAUCCAGCAAUGCCGCGUGUGUGAAGAAGGUCUUCGGAUUGUAAAGCACUUUAAGUUGGGAGGCGGUACCAACAGAAUAAGCACCGGCUAACUUCGUGCCAGCAGCCGCGGUAAUUC
rnacentral:rRNA from 1 species